rnacentral:rRNA from 1 species
CCCUUAGAUGUUCUGGGCCGCACGCGCGCUACACUGAUGCAUUCAACGAGCCUAUCCUUGACCGACAGGUCCGGGUAAUCUUUGAAUCUGCAUCGUGACGGGGAUAGAUUAUUGCAAUUAUUAAUCUUCAACGAGGAAUACCUAGUAGGCGCAAGUCAUCAGCUUGCGUCGAUUACGUCCCUGCCCUUUGUACACACCGCCCGUCGCUCCUACCGAUUGGGUGUGCUGGUGAAAUGUUCGGAUCGGCCGUUUGUCGCGGUUUCCGCGUCAUGUGGCUGAGAAGUUCAUUAAACCCUCCCACCUAGAGGAAGGAGAAGUCGUAACA